rnacentral:rRNA from 1 species
CACGACCACCAAACCACCGAGAAUGUGCCGGAACCUCAUCGGAUCUCGGAAUGUGAGCAGAGUCGUGCCUGGUUAGUGCUUGGGUGAGAGCCCGCCAGGGAAAAACCAGCUGUUAUGU